rnacentral:other from 1 species
ACUACCCUGCGGUGUUCGAGAUUGCCAUAUAUUCCUUGAACCAUUCGUGUGCAACGGUUGUGGAAUACGUUCGAUGGGCGUGAGCGUCGCUUGUCCGACGAACCCGAAAUUGAUCUGACUGCGACCACCUGAACCUCAGGUUCGGGAUGCCGGCAAAAACGGCACAGGCGGGGCACAA